rnacentral:lncRNA from 1 species
GACUUGUGGCCAUCCAAGGGGGAGUGUUGUGAAUAAUAUGUGGAUGGCCCACAUGAAUAGUUUGUUACUAUUUAUGCACAGUAUUUUCACUAUUCAUUUGUGGAAAAGUUGUAAAGUGAAUAGUGCUUUCUUUUGUUUAUAUAUUUGAAGAAGAGAAGAAGAGGUGAGUAACUUACGGAAGAGGAAGAGAGAAGAGUGAGAGAGAGAGAGGAAAGAAGAGGAAGAAGAGGAAAAUAAGGGGGAGAUUAAAGAGAGUUAUCUUUGUACUCCUAUUAUUCCAAAUUAUAAUGAAAGCACCACUGCUGCCCCGAGGACGUACUCCAGUCACACUAACUGUAAAGGAACCUCAUAAAUUUUGUGUCUUGUUUCAUUUAUUCCACUGCACCCACAGUCGAUUUUAC